rnacentral:rRNA from 1 species
UAGGGAAUCUUCCGCAAUGGACGCAAGUCUGACGGAGCAACGCCGCGUGAGUGAAGAAGGAUUUCGGUUCGUAAAACUCUGUUGUUAGAGAAGAACAGCGCAUAGAGUAACUGUUAUGCGUGUGACGGUAUCUAACCAGAAAGCCACGGCUAACUACGUGCCAGCAGCCGCGGUAAUACGUAGGUGGCAAGCGUUGUCCGGAUUUAUUGGGCGUAAAGCGAGCGCAGGCGGUCAAUUAAGUCUGAUGUGAAAGCCCCCGGCUCAACCGGGGAGGGUCGUUGGAAACUGGUUGACUUGAGUGCAGAAGAGGAGAGUGGAAUUCGAUGUGUAGCGGUGAAGUGCGUAGAUAUAUGGAGGAACACCGGUGGCGAAAGCGGCUCUCUGGUCUGUAACUGACGCUGAGGCUCGAAAGCGUGGGGAGCGAACAGG